UGGUUCUGCUAUCACUCUUGGAUGGACCUGCGGUGCAUUAGCUAGUUGGUAGGGUAACGGCCUACCAAGGCGAUGAUGCAUAGCCGAGUUGAGAGACUGAUCGGCCACAUUGGGACUGAGACACGGCCCAAACUCCUACGGGAGGCAGCAGUAGGGAAUCUUCCACAAUGGACGAAAGUCUGAUGGAGCAACGCCGCGUGAGUGAAGAAGGUUUUCGGAUCGUAAAGCUCUGUUGUUGGUGAAGAAGGAUAGAGGUAGUAACUGGCCUUUAU
rnacentral:rRNA from 1 species